AGUCUCCCCAAGGUGACGUAAUGCAAUGCAUUGUGGGGGAAAGGAGAAUCACUUCAAAUGCUGUGAAAUAUUACCUGCUUUUUCGUAUUAUAUUCCGUUUUGUGAUACCCAACAACAUCAAAUACAAUGGAUAAUAGUUUAAAUGUUUAUUAUCAACAAGCAAAUUGUGCAAAUUCGUUGGAAAAUGAACCCUGCAACACGGCCUUUAAAGGAUCUUUGGUUCUAGUGCUAAACCACUACGGAUGCAAUAUACUUUUAGCCGCUACGCAUUUCAGCGCUGUUGAGCUGCUUUUUAAAAAUAUUGGCGGCCCGGUCAUCUUUGAAAUUUUGUUGUAGGUCCUAGUCGGCGUUACCACUGUUACCGAGCUGUUAACGGGCGUUACCGAUGACAGAUAUCGGACUGACUUUUUACUCUCAGGUUUGAGCCCACGUCCUCCCAACUGACCCUGUGGCCCUCCGCUGCAGCAGAACUGGCCCUUGAGUACCGCCAGAAGGGGAGCACUACCUAGAAGAUCAAGAGGGUGGACAGGGUGUGCAUGGAGGACACAGUGGCACUGAAAGGAGGCGACCCCAGAGCGUGAUGUGCGCAGGCUGAUGGGUCGGGUGCCGAUACAUCUGUGUGAGCUAGAUCAAAGGAUACUCUCCCAAUGGUCCGUCAGAACACAGAGGGAGACAGGGAGGACUGUGGUGGCACCUUGACCAGGCACUGCAGACGGGCUCAGCAGGGUCGACCCAGAACCCAGCAGCAUCGGCAACGUAUCGUCCAGCAGCAGUGGGCCCAGCAGCAGUGGCGGUGUAUCGUCUGACAGCAGCGGCCGGUUCAGCAGUGGCGGGUUCAGCAGUGGCGGUGUAUCGUCUGACAGCAGCCGACCCAGGGCCCAGCAGCAUCGGCAGUGUAUCGUCCAGCAGCAACGGACCCAGGGCCAGUGUCAGUGUAUCACUCAGCAACAGCGGACCCAGGGCCAGCAGCAGUGUCUAACUGUAUCGUCCAGCAGCAGCCGACCCACAGGCACACACACACACACACACACUUUGCCUUCUUCAGCUGGUGUUCAUUUAGUCACAGAAUGCUGUUCUCCAAUGUUCUGAAAUGUUUUGUAUCACUUAAUUCUUUAAUUUAACAACUUUUAUUACUUUUUAGAGAUGAUUUUAUCACACACACACACUCACACGCUGUCACGCACACCUUCACACGCGCACACACACACACAGAGGCUUGGACACACACGCACACACACACACACACACACACACACAGAAUGCUGUUCUUUUUUUUAAUCAAUGUUGUUCAUUACUGUUUACUAUCUGCAAAUUAUAACUUGUUCACAAAUAAAAUGGAACCUUUCUUCUGAAA